UUGUAAGUGUUUAUGAGCGUACGGUGGAUGCCUUGGCACCAGGAGCCGAUGAAGGACGUGGGAGGCUGCGAUAUGCCUCGGGGAGCUGUCAACCGAGCUGUGAUCCGAGGAUUUCCGAAUGGGGAAACCCAGCACGAGUGAUGUCGUGUUACCCGCGCCUGAAUAUAUAGGGCGUGUGGAGGGAACGUGGGGAAGUGAAACAUCUCAGUACCCACAGGAAGAGAAAACAACAUGUGAUUCCGUGAGUAGUGGCGAGCGAAAACGGAAGAGGCUAAACCGGAUACAUGUGAUACCCGGCAGGGGUUGUGUGUUCGGGGUUGUGGGGUUCGAUGUGUCGGUGCUGCCGCGCCGGCCGACAGUGAGAAAUCGCCUGUGUUAGUCGAAAUGGUCUGGAACGGCCUGUCGUAGAGGGUGAGAAUCCCGUAGACGAAAACGCGGUGACUGUCGAUUCGAAUACCCGAGUAGCAGCGGGCCCGUGAAAUCUGCUGUGAAUCCGUCGGGACCACCC
rnacentral:rRNA from 1 species